rnacentral:rRNA from 1 species
GUGGGGAAUCUUAGACAAUGGGCGCAAGCCUGAUCUAGCCAUGCCGCGUGAGUGAUGAAGGCCCUAGGGUUGUAAAGCUCUUUCAGCUGGGAAGAUAAUGACGGUACCAGCAGAAGAAGCCCCGGCUAACUUCGUGCCAGCAGCCGCGGUAAUACGAAGGGGGCUAGCGUUGUUCGGAUUUACUGGGCGUAAAGCGCACGUAGGCGGAUCGUUAAGUCGGGGGUGAAAUCCUGGAGCUCAACUCCAGAACUGCCUUCGAUACUGGCGAUCUUGAGUCCGGAAGAGGUGAGUGGAACUCCUAGUGUAGAGGUGGAAUUCGUAGAUAUUAGGAAGAACACCAGUGGCGAAGGCGGCUCACUGGUCCGGUACUGACGCUGAGGUGCGAAAGCGUGGGGAGCAAACAGGAUUAGAUACCCCAGUAGUCC